AGCGACCGCUUGCCGGAGCACCCGCGGAAUGCAGCCGGAGUGACCGCCUAACAGCGCCUGUGCCGCUUAAACCCAGCUGGCCAGCCUCGUCGGCUCCGCCCUUGAACGGUGUUGGCUCCGCCCUGAUGGAAAAGAAUGGCCAUGUUUCCGCCUCCUGAGGGGGUGGGGCAGGCAAGGCUGCGAGGGGGAUCCAGAGGUCUCCAGUGGCGGAAGGCAAGACCAGAGCAAGUGCUAAAGCCUCGUCCACCAGAGGAGCCUCGCCAUCCCUCUCAGGUCACAUGGACAGCGGCAAGGGCUGCCCUGAGCCCUGGGCAAUGGAGGGAAAACGCCCAGCUUGGCCCUCAAGCUCCCAGGGUACUGGGACCCCAUGGCCCAGCCCUGCUUGCCUUCUCCUUAAAGUUGCUACCGCUGUGCUCACUCUCCUUGGCCAGGUUGCUCAUGAUGGGUGUGGGAGGGCAGCAUGUUUGUGUGUAAAACCAUUGUAACUUUGCAUAGUCUUUGCAAAUGAACUGUUGUUAGUUAUCUGUACAAGGUUGGGGGUUUUUCAUGUUGUUAACAAAUACUCAAAUCUCAACCUAUGCUAGAAAUGUCUUGCCCAAUGCUGAAAUAGUGAAAUCAUUUCACAAAGGACAAUAGAGUGACUUCGGUGUAGUAGCUAAGGUGCUGGCUAGAAACCAGGAGACUGAAUUCUAGUUCCCCUUAUGCAUGAAAGCAGACUGGGUGAUUUUGGGCCAGUCACUCUCUCAGCCCAACCCACCUCACAAGAUUUUGUUAUGAGGAAAAUAGGAGGAAAGAAUACAAUGUUAGCCUUGAGUUACUUAUGUAUUAAAAGUGGCAUAAAAAUAAUUAAUAAAUAAAAUUUAUUUGGCCUAUUAA